UACGUAGGGGGCAAGCGUUGUCCGGAUUUAUUGGGCGUAAAGAGCUCGUAGGUGGUUCGGUAAGUCGGAUGUGAAAUCUCCAGGCUCAACCUGGAGGGGUCAUUCGAUACUGCCGUGACUAGAGGUCGGUAGGGGAGUGUGGAAUUCCUGGUGGAGCGGGUGAAAUGCGCAGAUAUCAGGAGGAACACCCGUAGCGAAGGCGGCACUCUGGGCCGAUACUGACACUGAGGAGCGAAAGUGCGGGAGGCGAACAGG
rnacentral:rRNA from 1 species